AGUGAGGAAUAUUGCACAAUGGGGGAAACCCUGAUGCAGCAACGCCGCGUGGAGGAUGACGCAUUUCGGUGUGUAAACUCCUUUUAUAUGUCAAGAAAAUGACGGUAGCAUAUGAAUAAGCACCGGCUAACUCCGUGCCAGCAGCCGCGGUAAUACGGAGGGUGCAAGCGUUAUUCGGAAUCACUGGGCGUAAAGGACGCGUAGGCGGGUUGGAAAGUCAGAUGUGAAAUCCUACAGCUUAACUGUAGAACUGCAUUUGAAACUUCCAAUCUAGAGUAUGGGAGGGGGAGAUGGAAUUAGUGGUGUAGGGGUAAAAUCCGUAGAUAUCACUAGGAAUACCGAAAGCGAAGGCGAUCUCCUGGAACAUAACUGACGCUAAGGCGUGAAAGCGUGGGGAGCAAACAGGAUUAGAUACCCUGGUAGUCCACGCCCUAAACGAUGUUCACUAGUCGUCGGGAUGCUAGUCAUCUCGGUGAUGCACUUAACAGAUUAAGUGAACCGCCUGGGGAGUACGGUCGCAAGAUUAAAACUCAAAGGAAUAGACGGGGACCCGCACAAGUGGUGGAGCAUGUGGUUUAAUUCGAAGAUACGCGAAGAACCUUACCUAGCCUUGACAUUGAAGAAACACACUAGAGAUAGAGUGGUGCCCUUCGGGGAAUCUGAAAACAGGUGCUGCACGGCUGUCGUCAGCUCGUGUCGUGAGAUGUUGGGUUAAGUCCCGCAACGAGCGCAACCCUCGUCCUUAGUUGCUAGCAGGUUAUGCUGAGCACUCUAAGGAGACUGCCUUCGUAAGGAGGAGGAAGGUGAGGACGACGUCAAGUCAUCAUGGCCCUUAUGGCUAGGGCUACACACGUGCUACAAUGGGGCGUACAGAGUGUUGCGAUACCGCGAGGUGGAGCUAAUCACUUAAAGCGUCUCUCAGUUCGGAUUGGAGUCUGCAACUCGACUCCAUGAAGCUGGAAUCACUAGUAAUCGUAGAUCAGCAAUGCUACGGUGAAUACGU
rnacentral:rRNA from 1 species